AUGUCCCAGUUCAGAUUGCAGGCUGCAACUCGCCUGCAUGAAGUCGGAAUUGCUAGUAAUCGCAGAUCAGCAUGCUGCGGUGAAUACGUUCCCGGGCCUUGUACACACCGCCCGUCACACCAUGAGAGUCGGGAACACCCGAAGUCCGUAGCCUGACCGCAAGGGGGCGCGGCCGAAGGUGGGUUCGAUAAUUGGGGUGAAGUCGUAACAAGGUACC
rnacentral:rRNA from 1 species